GCGUAUUCGGCAGUGCACAUAUACUAAAACUGGAAUGAGACAGAGAAGAUUAGCAUGGCCCCCUGUGCAAGGAUAAGAUGCAAAUUCAUGAAGCGGUAAAACAAAAC